GAUCCUGGCUCAGGACGAACGCUGGCGGCGUGCCUAACACAUGCAAGUCGAACGAGAAUCGUAUGACGGAGGCUUCGGCCAACUGAGUACGAGGAAAGUGGCGGACGGGUGAGUAACGCGUGAGCAACCUGCCUUGGAGUGGGGAACAACAGGAGGAAACUCCUGCUAAUACCGCAUAAAGUGCCGGGAAGGCAUCUUCCUGGUACCAAAGCUUUAUGUGCUCUGAGAUGGGCUCGCGU
rnacentral:rRNA from 1 species